rnacentral:tRNA from 1 species
GGGGGAGUGUCGGAACUGGCAGACGAGCAUGAUUUAGGAUCAUGUGCCGCAAGGCGAGGGGUUCAAAUCCCCCCUUCCCCACCA